rnacentral:rRNA from 1 species
UACGUAGGGUGCGAGCGUUGUCCGGAAUUAUUGGGCGUAAAGAGCUCGUAGGCGGCCUGUCGCGUCGGAUGUGAAAGCCCGGGGGCUUAACCCCCGGGUCUGCAUUCGAUACGGGCAGGCUAGAGUUCGGUAGGGGAGUCUGGAAUUCCUGGUGUAGCGGUGAAAUGCGCAGAUAUCAGGAGGAACACCGAUGGCGAAGGCAGGUCACUGGGCCGCAACUGACGCUGAGGAGCGAAAGCAUGGGGAGCGAACAGG